CGGCUCCUGUCCGGAACCACGGGCCGGGGAGAAGUAGUCCCUGUGGACCAGAGGCAGGUCCGAGUCCAGGAACAUGGGCAGGCUCAGGCUCGGUUCGGUCCAAUUAAACCCACCUGCUGGAGCAGAAGCAGCUCAGCGGCGCCACCAACAGGCCGGUACCGGAACCACAGCCAACUGGACCAGAACCCGGUUCUGCUGCAGCUCCUGGAUCAGGUGGUCCCGCUCCUCUGCGUCCAUCAGGACCUGCUGCGAUGGAGAAGAGAAAUAAGAACUAUA